rnacentral:lncRNA from 1 species
UAAAAAAUUCCUGUAAAUUUACGAUGAAAAUAAACAGCAAAAUACUGUUUUAAUGUAAAAACAGCAAGUUGCCAUUUUUUACAAUGCAUCAUGGGAAGACUUGCUCACUUCAGUUUGAGUGGUUGAGCAACAACAGUAAGGGCACUGUAAUUUAACGGUUUUAUACCAUAUUUUUUUCUGUGUACACAAGACGCCAUUUUGGAUUAUCUACAUGAGGUACUUACAAGAAAGGAUAAUUGGAUAAUUUGGAUAUUUUCGACGAGGAUCCGACCGUGUGAAUGUCUUGAGAAGAGAAAGGGGGUAACUUUAGCCUAAUUUAGCAAGCUAACGAUAGCUGGAGGACUCAUUUUCACAUCACACACAGAUGUCUGCCACCACUGCUAAUCUUGAAAAGAUGGGUAACCUGCCUGUGACUCCUCAUUUGAUUCUUCCUGGUUCAGAUGAUACUUUGGGCCAGUGGAUAAAACAAUGGAUGAUCAGCAUGGAAGGCAAAGUAAUCUGUGAGGGAGAGCAUGCACACUGGAAUUCCUUCAAAGAUGCUUUGCUGGCAUAAAUCCAGAGAGGGGAACCAAGGCUGUGAGAGGAAAUGUGACGUCAAAAAAAACUGGCAAGACAGUUCAGAAGAAGACCAUGACUGUAAACCCCAAGGUUUCAAACCUUUUAAAGAAACUAAUGGACUUUGAAUGGGACUUUAUUUAAAAUGCAGCUAGCUUGAACCCCCUACUUUUGCAACACAGAGGCCUUUUUUUCUUUAUUUGCUGAAGCUCAUUUUGGGGCUAUAUAUUUUUAUAUUUUAUAUCCAAGACUAAAUUGUAAAGUGGCUAUUUAUAAAUUUUUUCUAUGACAUUCAGUAAGUUGCUUCUUGUUGUACAAUGCUGAAUAUGAUCUUAACAUUUCUGGAGAACUUACAAUUUUUGCCUGUUCUUUGGCUUAAUGUUUUCACAAACACAAUGCAGAUUUUAUUUUGUGUUGUUUGAAAAUAAAAAAUGUGAAAUAUAACUUGGAUUUAUUUCUCUUUUUGAAUCAUUUUAAUCUGAAAUAAUAUGGUUAAAUAUGGAUUGUAAUUUAACAGCUGUAUGCUUCUAAAUAACAGAUGCAUGCUGUAGAUAAAAUGUAAAAAAGGUAGGGCACUGUAUUUUUACAUUAGAAUAACAGUGGUAUGCUGUAUCUUACAAAACAGUAUCAUGCUGUUAAUUUAAAAUGGUAGGGCACUGUAUUUUUACAGUUCCACAACAGUAGAAUACUGUUGCUAACAAAAACAGUAUCAUGCUGGUAAUUUAAAAAACGGUAGGGCACCAUAUUUUUACAGUAUGAUAAUGGCAACCACAGCUGCCAGUAGAUUACCGUUUUUUU